rnacentral:rRNA from 1 species
AGGCCUACCACUGCAGUCGAGCGCCCCGCAGGGGGAGCGGAAGACGGGUGAGUAACUUCUGGGAACGUGCCAAUCGGUUCGGAAUAGCCCGGGGAAACUCGGAGUAAUACCGAAUACGCCCGCAAGGAGAAAGAUUUAUCGCCGAAGGAUCGGCCCGCGUCUGAUUAGCUUGUUGGUGAGGUAACGGCUCACCAAGGCGACGAUCAGUAGCUGGUCUGAGAGGAUGAUCAGCCUCACUGGGACUGAGACACGGCCCAGACUCCUACGGGAGGCAGCAGUGGG